rnacentral:lncRNA from 10 species
GUUUAGUACAUUGUCCUGAAUAUUAGUUAUUAGAUACAUUUUCUAGCUGCCUGGUGAUGGAAAGGUUUCAUUGUGCUAAUAAUACUGAUCCUCUCCGUAUCUCCGUGUUCUAAGUAACCAUCCUACUCAGUGAGGCAAUCGCUCCGGCAUGCCUAACAGCUAUGUCAAGGGCCCUUUUCUCUUGAAGUUGAUAAUAAAACCCUCUCUUGCAUAUCUUGGCUAAAGAAUAUGAAAUAGUUAAAUCAUAAAGGUCAAUGUUUGGUAACAAAGUCUCUACAAGUGCAGCCAUUACACAUUAUGGAAUUCCAUGUGAGAUCGUUAAGAAGGAGUCUCUGUCGCCCAGGCUGGAGCGCAACGGUGUGAUCUCGGCUCACUGCAAUCUCCGAAUCUCCGCCUCCCAGGUUCAAGCGAUUCUCCUGCCUGAGUCUCCCAAGUAGCUGAGACUACAGACGCCCACCACCACGCCCAGCUAAUUUUUGUAUUUUUAGUAGAGACAGGAUUUCACCAUAUUGGCCAGGCUGGUCUUGAACUCCUGACCUUGUGAUCAGCCCGCCUCGGCCUCCCAAAGUGCUGGGAUUACAGGCGUGAGCCACUGCACCCGGCCUAUGUAUUCGUUUCUUUUAAAAAAAAACCUAUGGAUACUAGUUAUGUCUACAUGACACAAAAAUUUUUGUCAAUACAGAAAAGUCUAUGGUAAUAUAAUUUAAGUUAGCUUGAGACUAUUGUUAAGAUUAAAAAAUAAUACUAAAGCUGAGAAUUUAAAAAUUAAAAUGAA